rnacentral:lncRNA from 1 species
UACAUCUAAAUAUUAAUUAAGAUUAAAACUUCAUACCUGAGUGUGGAUAGUAGAUCACCAUAUCUAAAAUCCAUGGUACUUGAUUCUUCAUGAUGCUUGAUAGCUGCACAUGCGUCCGACCUCUACGGAUAUCCACACGAAGUCCAUGUGCUGAUCGAUCUCUCCAGGAGUGCUAGCUUGUGAAGACAUCAUACUUUGACUGAUUUAUAAGGAACAUGAUAAAGAUGAAGAAUAAGGAGAUCCUCUCCUUUUCUUUUUAGAUUCACGCAUCAGAUCUCUUCAAUAGAGAUCAUGAGAACAACUCUUUCUUCUCAAUUCUCUCACACACAAGAGAUAAUCUUUCUUUCUUCCUUUUAUGCCUUUGAGAAGAACUUUUCUUCUCUAAUUUUUUAUGAUAAAAAUUAAAUCUAAUCUGAUUUCUUAUACUAAAAAUCAUAUAGAUUUUUGGGUUCUAGAAAAAUCCAAAAGAGAGACCCA